rnacentral:rRNA from 1 species
GAUGAACGCUGGCGGCGUGCCUAAUACAUGCAAGUCGAGCGAACAGAUGAGGAGCUUGCUCCUCUGACGUUAGCGGCGGACGGGCGAGUAACACGUGGAUAACCUACCUAUAAGACUGGGAUAACUUCGGGAAACCGGAGCUAAUACCGGAUAAUAUAUUGAACCGCAUGGUUCAAUAGUGAAAGACGGUUUUGCUGUCACUUAUAGAUGGAUCCGCGCCGCAUUAGCUAGUUGGUAAGGUAACGGCUUACCAAGGCAACGAUGCGUAGCCGACCUGAGAGGGUGAUCGGCCACACGGGAACUGAGACACGGUCCAGACUCCUACGGGAGGCAGCAGUAGGGAAUCUUCCGCAAUGGGCGAAAGCCUGACGGAGCAACGCCGCGUGAGUGAUGAAGGUCUUCGGAUCGUAAAACUCUGUUAUUAGGGAAGAACAAAUGUGUAAGUAACUAUGCACGUCUUGACGGUACCUAAUCAGAAAGCCACGGCUAACUACGUG